GGUGGACCUUAAGACACUACGUCAGGGAUUGGAUUGGAUAGUGCUUUUUUGAAUCCAUCUGGUUUGCCCUUUUAUUUUUGAAGUCCAAACAGGAUUUAUUAGAAGGAAGCAUACGGAUAUACUACUGAUUUACUUCGGCCACACCCAUAAUUUGAAGGUCAAUUAGUACCUAAAAGAUGUGAAACCCUGAUGAAGUCCUAACGGACGAAAUGCGUUGGUUUUCUACGAAUUUGGGUUUUUAUGAAUUUGUGAACAGAUCACACAUGCUUUUUCGUGUUGAAGAAUAAGCACUUCACCGAACGACUGAGAACAUCAUACAAUAGAUUAUCACAAAUGAAUGUAUUACUCAAUCAACAUGUGUGAUCCUGCUAUUCAUGUUAUGGAAGU